rnacentral:tRNA from 1 species
GCUCCUAAAGGAUAAUAGCUCAUCCUGGUCUUAGGAACCAAAAACUCCUGGUGCAAAUCCAAGUAGGCAGCU